GUUUCAAUGGCAAAACUAGGAUUUGCAAGAAAAAGAGGAUUGAAGAGAGUGAACAGUUCAAAGCCAUUUAAGAAGUUCAAAAAUCUGAAGCUAAAUCCUAGAGCAGAAAAACUUGUACCUAAGCAACCUCUAGAAAAUGACUCAGAGGAUUGGUCUGAUGAAAAUUUU